rnacentral:rRNA from 1 species
AGAUACCCCUGUAGUCCCAGCCGUAAACUAUGCUCGCUAGGUGUCAGGCAUGGCGCGACCGUGUACUGGUGCCGCAGGGAAGCCGUGAAGCGAGCCACCUGGGAAGUACGGCCGCAAGGCUGAAACUUAAAGGAAUUGCGGGGAGCACCACAACGGGUGGAGCCUGCGGUUUAAUUGGACUCAACGCCGGGAAGCUCACCGGAUAAGACAGCGGAAUGAUUGCCGGGCUGAAGACUCUGCAUGACUAGCUG